AACUUAAAGGAAGUUGACGGGGGCCCGCACAAGCGGAGGAGCAUGUGGUUUAAUUCGAUGAUACGCGAGGAACCUUACCUGGGCUCGAACGUAAGAUGACUGUAGGUGAAAGCUUACAUCUCUUCGGAGCAUUUUACGAGGUGCUGCAUGGUUGUCGUCAGCUCGUGCCGUGAGGUGUCGGGUUAAGUCCCGUAACGAGCGCAACCCUUGCCUUAGUUACCAGCACGUUAUGGUGGGCACUCUAAGGAGACUGCCGGUGACAAACCGGAGGAAGGUGGGGAUGACGUCAAGUCAUCAUGGCCCUUACGGCCUGGGCUACACACGUGCUACAAUGGUCGGUACAAAGGGUUGCCAAGCCGCGAGGUGGAGCUAAUCCCAUAAAACCGAUCGUAGUCCGGAUCGCAGUCUGCAACUCGACUGCGUGAAGUCGGAAUCGCUAGUAAUCGUGAAUCAGAAUGUCACGGUGAAUACGUUCCCGGGCCUU
rnacentral:rRNA from 1 species